UACGUAGGGGGCAAGCGUUGUCCGGAAUGACUGGGCGUAAAGCGCGCGCAGGCGGUCUUUUAAGUCUGAGGUGAAAGGCUGGGGCUCAACCCUGGCAUCGCCUUGGAAACGGGAAGACUUGAGGACUGGAGAGGCAAGGGGAAUUCCACGUGUAGCGGUGAAAUGCGUAGAGAUGUGGAGGAAUACCAGUGGCGAAGGCGCCUUGCUGGACAGUGCCUGACGCUGAGGCGCGAAGGCGCGGGGAGCAAACAGGAUUAGAUACCCUGGUAGUCCACGCGGUAAACGAUGAGUGCUAGGUGUCGGAGGGUACCACCUCCGGUGCCGAAGGAAACCCAAUAAGCACUCCGCCUGGGGAGUACGGUCGCAAGACUGAAACUCAAAGGAAUUGACGGGGGCCCGCACAAGCAGUGGAGCAUGUGGUUUAAUUCGAAGCAACGCGAAGAACCUUACCAGGACUUGACAUCCCCCUGACGGGAGUAGAGAUAUUCCGUCCCUUCGGGGCAGGGGAGACAGGUGGUGCAUGGUUGUCGUCAGCUCGUGUCGUGAGAUGUUGGGUUAAGUCCCGCAACGAGCGCAACCCUUGAUCAGUGUUACCAGCACGUAAUGGUGGGGACUCACUGAUGACUGCCGGUGACAAACCGGAGGAAGGCGGGGAUGACGUCAAAUCAUCAUGCCCCUUAUGUCCUGGGCCACACACGUGCUACAAUGGGCGGUACAACGGGAAGCAAGAGAGCGAUCUGGAGCGAAACCCUAAAAGCCGUUCGUAGUUCGGAUUGCAGGCUGCAACCCGCCUGCAUGAAGUCGGAAUCGCUAGUAAUCGCGGAUCAGCAUGCCGCGGUGAAUACGUUCCCGGGCCU
rnacentral:rRNA from 1 species